AUGGUACGAUGUUCCUUCUGCAACAACUCUCGCAGGGAUAUGCUGUCUUCUCUUGGGACCACAACAUAUGGGCAGAGAUGUGGCUCAGCUUGCAGUAAGCUUCCGCCUCCGAAUGGCUUGCCGUCCCUGACAGAUCCAAGGAACUAUUUGACCUGCCUGCAUGUGCCUUUCAGUCAGUCCUCCUCAGUGUGCUGCUGCGGGUAGAGCAGACAUGAGAAUUUGAGGAGGAGCACUCUAAAGCAGUUCACGAUGAUAGCAUAUUCUCCUGUCUGAGGAGAAUGGGGCUAGGAACAAACGUGAAGACUGCAGAAAGGAUGAAGUGAGACAUCUCGGAGAGCUUGAUUAGGAAGGAAAGUUCUCUGCCUGUGGUUCAGAAGGCACAGAAGCUGAAACACCUGGAAGGUAGGCUUAAAUCACAUCGUUGUAAAGAAAUUAUUUCAGAAGUUUGUCAAGAAGGUGACUUGUCUGUGAAAGAACAGUACUGAUGAAGCAGGGAUUUAACCAAAGCUGGAGGCUCCCAUGUUAAAGUUGGGAUGUGAUGUCUGAUUCCAGCAACCAACAAGUGGUUCUUACUCAUGCUUAAGGGAAUUACACCCACCCCAUAUUCUCUCUGACACUGCCAGUACUCAGAAGUUAAUUUCUCUCUUUGAUUAGAAACCUUAAAAAAAAAUUGACUCUACAACUUCCCACAAAGUUAACAUCUACAAAUUAAGGCUGUACAAAUUAAGGAUCGUGUGUUGUUUUCCACUCAAGCUUGGAUUUUCCUUGUUGAAGUCUCUGCUCUAUCUGAGAGAUGAUAGCUUUCUUGAGCCCCAACAGUCUUGUACUAUCACCAGAAAGAUUCUGCUGUAGUUAACUUUGCUCACGAUGUCUGUGGAACAUAGAGACCACACUAGCUCAUUCUUUCAUUACUGUGUCAGUUCACAAGCUUUUAACUUGUGUUUGGCAAUAGUGAGAACAGAUAUGAAUCAAAGCUAGAGCAAAUAUUUUCUGACUAUGAACCCUCUCUAAGUUCAGUAGCACUCCCAAUAGCUCCCAGUUGCUCUUUUGUUUGAGGCAGAGGCCCCUGGGCUCCAAUUUAAGCUCUGAUGCUUAGUUUUCAAAACCACCUUUGAAGCUGUGUGUUGAUGAUCUCAGCAAGUGGGAAUGAGAGGUCACUUCUUAAUUCCUGUGAAUGAGAAGAAAGUCUAGAAUAUCUUCCUG
rnacentral:lncRNA from 1 species